UUAAGGAGGUAUUUAUUUAUUUUAUGGCUUUUGUUGCCUUUGUGAAAGACAUUUCCCUCACGUAGUGGUUUUCAGUUACCAAGCAGAACUGAGAGCUGGGGCUCAAUAAAGAGUGUGCAGAGUCGCUGCAUGGCCAGAUGAUGGAGGGGGGUGGGGGGAGGAAAGUUGGGGAUCAUAAUUUGGCUACCACAUAGGAGGAUUCAGAUUUGCAUUCUGUAGCUUCUUCAGACAGGAUGCUAGACUCUACACACUAAUGGUACAGAUUCCGUUUUAAGAAGGAGUUUAGUUCUUGUUCUAAGUUAUUUUAAUUUUAAAAUAACUAAUUGCAUUAAGAGGAUACUUCGGAGACAGGGUGCUUAGUAAACCACCUCUAAAGGGUGAGUGGCAGAGCAAUCCUGUGUCCUGUGGCCCGUGGAUCAGAUGGUGUGAAUAGCUGACUUGGUCCAGUGCCUGUGGGUGCUUUCAGAUCAGGCCCAGCGGAGGUGGUAGGGGUGAGGGUGGAAGGAGACUGCUGCUCAGUGAGUCUGUUGGUUCUUGAGCCGGAGCUAAAGGAUAACAAAGUCCCGAGGGUAACUUAACUCUUCCUGGAGAUAAUUGCAGGAGGCCAAGGGGCAAAGACUAAGAGCCGUUGUGGGUAGGAUCAUCCUCUACAAAGACACAUUGAAGUCUGAGUCCCUGCCCACAUUUUACCAGUGAAUGUGACCUCAUUUGGAAAUGCAGCCUUUUAAGAUGUAAUCCCAUUAGGGUGACGUCAUAAUGGAUUAGUGUGGGCCCUCAUCCAAUGUCUGGCGUCCUCACAAAAGGAAAGAGACUUGGGCACAGAUGGCCAGGAAGAAUAUCAUGUCAGUGAAGGCAGAGAAUGGAGAUUUGUUGACAUAACCCAAAACUGCCAAGGACUGCUGAUAACCACCACGAAGAGGGAAGAAACCUGGACCAGAUUCCCUGAACCCAACAGAAGGAUGCCUGGGAAGCAUCAGACAUCUGCUGUUAUCUAGCAACGCCGACAUCUGCUACAGAGCUGGAAAAGGCAACCCAUUGCUUCAGAUUCCAAAAAAGUCUCAGCAGCAUCCUAGUUCAGCAGGAAUCAGAGGGAACACAGCAUCUUCCUACCCUACCUGCCUGCUUGCAAAAGAUACCUGGGCUGCCGAGACACCCACACGCUGUCUCAGGGUUGGCAUGGUCUCAGGGUGUCUCUUCCUUAAGUAGGAAGACUAUCCAACGGCAAGAAAGCACCAACAUGUUCUUGCUUCCUGCAGUGAGGAAGAGAAGGCCCUGUUGGCUGCCUGAAGAAGAGACAGUCCUCUUCUGGCUGCCUUUGGAUAGAAAUGCAGAACUGUCAGCUCGUCUAGCACCAGGCCUGCCCUCCUACGCGAUGAUAAUGGACUGA
rnacentral:lncRNA from 1 species